rnacentral:rRNA from 1 species
UCGAACGCGUCUCCGUUGAUGAUUUUAGGUGCUUGCACUUGAAAGAUUCACUUUGAGACGAGUGGCGAACUGGUGAGUAACACGUGGGUCACCUGCCCUUGAAGUAGGGGAUAACACUUGGAAACAGGUGCUAAUACCGUAUAACAACCAAAACCACCUGGUUUUGGUUUAAAAGACGGCUUCGGCUGUCACUUUAGGAUGGACCCGCGGCGCAUUAGCUUGUUGGUAAGGUAACGGCUUACCAAGGCGAUGAUACGUAGCCGACCUGAGAGGGUAAUCGGCCACAUUGGGACUGAGACACGGCCCAAACUCCUACGGGAGGCAGCAGUAGGGAAUCUUCCACAAUGGACGAAAGUCUGAUGGAGCAACGCCGCGUGAGUGAUGAAGGGUUUCGGCUCGUAAAACUCUGUUGUUGGAGAAGAACAGGUGUCAGAGUAACUGUUGACAUCUUGACGGUAUCCAACCAGAAAGCCACGGCUAACUACGUGCCAGCAGCCGCGGUAAUACGUAGGUGGCAAGCGUUGUCCGGAUUUAUUGGGCGUAAAGCGAGCGCAGGCGGUUUUUUAGGUCUGAUGUGAAAGCCUUCGGCUUAACCGGAGAAGUGCAUCGGAAACCGGGAGACUUGAGUGCAGAAGAGGACAGUGGAACUCCAUGUGUAGCGGUGAAAUGCGUAGAUAUAUGGAAGAACACCAGUGGCGAAGGCGGCUGUCUGGUCUGUAACUGACGCUGAGGCUCGAAAGCAUGGGUAGCGAACAGGAUUAGAUACCCUGGUAGUCCAUGCCGUAAACGAUGAGUGCUAAGUGUUGGAGGGUUUCCGCCCUUCAGUGCUGCAGCUAACGCAUUAAGCACUCCGCCUGGGGAGUACGAC